GAUCCUGGCUCACGAUGAACGCUAGCUACAGGCUUAACACAUGCAAGUCGAGGGGCAGCAUUGAACUUAGCUUGCUAAGUUUGAUGGCGACCGGCGCACGGGUGAGUAACACGUAUCCAACCUGCCGAUGACUCGGGGAUAGCCUUUCGAAAGAAAGAUUAAUACCCGAUGGCAUAGUUCUUCCGCAUGGUAGAACUAUUAAAGGAUUUCGGUCAUCGAUGGGGAUGCGUUCCAUUUAGGG
rnacentral:rRNA from 1 species